GUGAAUCAUCAAAUUUUUGAACGCAAAUUGCACUCUCCUCGGAGAGUAUGCCUGUUUGAGGGUCAGCCUAUAAAAAAUCGACAUCGUUGCUGUUUCGCGGUGGCGUUCGUCGGAAAUUGGGCAAUCUUAAAUCUUUUGGUUUUAAGCGCCUUAAAAUUUUCUUUUUGGUUCUAUGAACGUCUCUAAGCUUUAUUUCUUUACACGUUUAGGGUAUCGUUUUUUAUUGGAUGUGACCCACAUAU
rnacentral:misc_RNA from 1 species